AUUGAACGCUGGCGGCAGGCCUAACACAUGCAAGUCGAACGGAGUGGCGAACGGGUGAGUAAUGCCUAGGAAUCUGCCUGGUAGUGGGGGAUAACGUCCGGAAACGGGCUCUAAUACCGCAUACUAUCAGAUGAGCCUAGGUCGGAUUAGCUAGUUGGUGGGGUAAAGGCCUACCAAGGCGACGAUCCGUAACUGGUCUGAGAGGAUGAUCAGUCACACGGGAACUGAGACACGGUCCAGAUUCCUACGGGAGGAAGCAGUGGGGAAUAUUGGACAAUGGGCGAAAGCCUGAUCCAGCAAUGCCGCGGGUGGGAAGAAGGUCUUCGGAUUGUAAAGCACUUUAAGUUGGGAGGCGUUACCAACAGAAUAAGCACCGGCUAACUUCGUGCCAGCAGCCGCGGUAAUAC
rnacentral:rRNA from 1 species